UGGAAAAACUAUCCGAAAAAUCUGUAGUUUGGGUACAUACACCUCUUUCACAAGAUACCUGUAGUGUAUUAGGCAAAAUCGGACCCUCGGGAUGUAACGUGAUAGGCCCUCCCCUGCUUGGUCAUGCAUAUGUAAAAAAGGUAUAGGUGAAACAGGAUACCUAUAUAAGGGACCCUCACAUUCCAAUAAACGCCAUUUGCCAUGUGCUCUCUUGUCACUGUCUCGGCAUUUGGCCCAGCCGCGGAUAGUCAGGGAUGAACACGGGACAAUUCAGAACUACAAUUGGUGACCCCUCCGUGCCCUGGCUGUGGCUGCUUUUAUGCGGCUUGUUCCUGCUGCGAGCGACACACUUUCUUCUUUUCGUCGCGGAGUAGACAGAAGCCCGGUUGGUGGGGGAGCGGCCGUACCCCUCCAUUGUUGGGACACUUACGCCGGAUACUGACUGCGGGUCAGUGGCGCUAUGGAAGCCGUGGUUAAGGAUUUGCCGAUUGGAUGCCCGAAGAGACUGGAGAACCCAGAACAAAAGAAGCACAGGAAGACGCUCCUGUUGAUACCAAAGAAGAAGAAGGGACGUGAAUCCCCUGACAAAGAAUCUUUGCUGCCUACGAGAAUUACUGUGUUGACAUUUAUAUACCUCAUGUGUUUAUUGUGGUCACCAGUGGGGGGCAUUCACCUGCUUAAACAGCCAGGAAACCUUUGGGUUACAUGGGCUAAUCAGACGGGGAAUAUGCAUUUUUGCCUUGCUUUACAAUCAGCUGCCUCACCCUUUCAAACGUGCCUUAUUGGGAAUGACACUUGGGACACCAAUAGUUUGCAGUGGCUGAGCCCUAGAUGCUUAUUUUUUGGCACACAAAGGAAACCUCUAGAUAUGCUGCAAUUCCUGGGGCAUGAAGGCCCUUAUUGGGAUCACAAAACUGACCAAUCUGCUCCAUUUACUCUUGUAUAUCCCCGAAAUAGCCGGACCUUUAACGGAGAUGGGGAAUAUUGCGGUUUCACUCCUAACGUAACAAGGGCAUACAGUCCACUGAAUCCAUUGAAUGGGUCCUGGGUUCCACCAGCAACGACUUUUAAUGUUAGCAGACCGGAUGGAUCGGUUAGAGAGGUAUAUUGCGGGAAUUAUUCCAGGUACAAUGGCUGCGUCGUUGCCUCUUUUCCCAAAGGCUCAGGCAUAUAUGCGAUUUCCGUCUGGAAUAAUAAUACCGCUAAAGCCUUACCCCCAGGAAUUUUCCUUAUCUGUGGGGAUCGCGCUUGGCAAGGGAUUCCAAGAAAUGCAAUAGGGGAACCCUGUUAUCUAGGAAGGUUAACUAUUUUAUCACCCAACAUUACGGAGGUAUAUAAGGCACUCAAUCACACUUGACCUAAGAGAGGAAUUCACGCCUUGGAUUCUGAAUGUGGCGAUGAUGUUAAAUUGUGGGGACCCACGGCAAGGAUCUUUGCUUCGUUCCUUGCCCCUGGGGUAGCGGCUGCACGUGCUUUGAAAGAAAUUGAAAGAUUGGCUUGUUGGACUGCAAAACAGGCUAAUGUUACUUCUCAACUUCUUUCGGACCUGCUUGUAGACGUAAGCGGCAUUAGACAUGCUGUACUUCAGAACAGAGCAGCUAUAGAUUUCUUGCUUCUGGCCCAAGGGCAUGGUUGUCAAGAUGUCGAAGGGAUGUGUUGUUUUAACCUGAGUGAUCAUAGUGAAUCAAUGCAUAAGCAGUUAGCUUGGUUGCAAGAUCAUACCAAGAAGAUUGGCAUCCAGGAUGAUCCAUUUGGGAACUGGCUGGGUAGUAUAUUUGGAGGUAUUGGACCUUGGAUUAAGCAAUUAUUAAAGGUGCUAGUAAUAGGGCUCAUUCUAUUUCUCGCACUGCUGAUCUGCAUACCGUGUAUCAUUCAGUGCCUCCAAGGAUGCAUCAGACGGAUGGUGACAGGAAUCUUCGAAGAGAGACGUGAGCAAGAAUGAAUGUAUGAGAGGCUCUAAAGAAGCCUGAAGAGUAAAAGCGAUCGGGUUGUCACGGGUUAAGCUACUCUAUCAUAGGGAGGGGGAAAUGUAGUGUAUUAGGCGAAAUCGGACCCUCGGGAUGUAACGUGAUAGGCCCUCCCCUGCUUGGUCAUGCAUAUGUAAAGAAGGUAUAGAUGAAACAGGAUACCUAUAUAAGGGACCCUCACAUUCCAAUAAAGGCCAUUUGCCAUGCGCUCUCUUGUCGCUG
rnacentral:lncRNA from 1 species